CCUACGGGUGGCAGCAGUCGAGAAUCAUUCACAAUGGGGGAAACCCUGAUGGUGCGACGCCGCGUGGGGGAAUGAAGGUCUUCGGAUUGUAAACCCCUGUCAUGUGGGAGCAAAUUAAAAAGAUAGUACCACAAGAGGAAGAGACGGCUAACUCUGUGCCAGCAGCCGCGGUAAUACAGAGGUCUCAAGCGUUGUUCGGAAUCACUGGGCGUAAAGCGUGCGUAGGCGGUUUCGUAAGUAGAGUGUGAAAGGCGCGGGCUCAACCCGCGGACGGCACAUGAUACUGCGAGACUAGAGUAAGGGAGGGGGAACUGGAAUUCUCGGUGUAGCAGUAAAAUGCGUAGAGAUCGAGAGGAACACUCGUGGCGAAGGCGAGUUCCUGGACAUUAACUGACGCUGAGGCACGAAGGCCAGGGGAGCGAAAGGGAUUAGAUACCCGUGUAGUC
rnacentral:rRNA from 1 species